rnacentral:rRNA from 1 species
UACGUAGGGGGCAAGCGUUGUCCGGAAUUAUUGGGCGUAAAGAGCGCGUAGGCGGUCCGAUAAGUCGGCUGUGAAAGUCAUGGGCUCAACCCAUGAAAGCCGGCCGAUACUGUCGGACUAGAGUCCGGAAGAGGCGAGUGGAAUUCCCGGUGUAGCGGUGAAAUGCGUAGAUAUUGGGAGGAACACCAGUGGCGAAGGCGGCUCACUGGACCGGUUCUGACGCUGAGGCGCGAAAGCGUGGGGAGCAAACGGG